UUCCAGCAUGAGUUGUGGAAAGACACCAACUUUUAGCCUAUGCCACAGAGUUUGUGGUAUGUGAUAUGUGGUCUCGGUGUGGUGUGUGGUACGUGGUAUGUGGUUUGUGUUCAUUUUUAAAUAAAAAGAAAUAUUUUUUUAGAUUUCUGAGAAUGACCUAUUCUACAAGAGAAAAUAAUUAGAAAACAGAGGAUGAAACAAAGGCCCUAAAAAAGGAAAGAAGAUUACUACAAGCAUCUGAUGUCUAUAUAUUGACACCUAUACAGUGGACUGUGGUUCACAGAACAUUUCUGUUUGUGAACAAUUCAGUAAAAGUUAAGUAAAUAAGGAGGAUCACCAGGAAGCCAUGCAACCUCUCUGUGUGGCGAGGGGGCCCUGCUGGCCCGGGGAGAGGCAUCAAAGACGCCAAGCAGCUGCCCUGUGUGCUGGAAGAAGACUUGUCAGCCAGAGAGAGCAGCAGAGGCUAUCUCCGCCUCCCCCUCCCCACUGACCCUUAAGCAGCCGUCACAGUGCAGGCUGAGAUGAUAAUACCUGAUGUAACUGAAGGAGGGAAGCACCCUGACAUUUAUGUUGUCUGAUUGACUUUGCAGGCCUGUGGCCAUCAGUCUAGAUGACUAUUUAAAGGAUAACAAUGUGUAAUACAGUAGUAAUUGUGGAUUUCCUGUCCUAUUAUUGUUUUGUUUCAUUUUACUGUUGUUUUACUCCCUUUAAAAUAAAAAAGCAGAGUUUUUCUCAAGUUUUGUAUGCGUUUGAAGGCCAUAUGUGUGGGAUGCAUUGAAUAUUUAUCUGAAAGAAAACUCUUGUUUGGGCAAAAACCUGUCUUAUGCUUCUUCUCGAGAACUGGUAAAAAUUCAAUUGUUUUAUUUCCUAUUCCUUUUAUUUCAUGAUGCUAAUCAAAUUUGAUUAAUUUGAUAGGGACUAGGGAUUUAACUCAGUUGCACAAGUGCCUUCCUGGCAAGUGUGAGGUCAUAAGUUUGAUCUAUGGUACAAAAAAAAAAAAUCUGUGAUAUAAAAUUUCACUUUACAGAGAAAAAUCUGCGACAUGUGUUAAUUUACAAAGAAAAGAUAAUUUGCAUCUCCCCUGUUAUUUGUAGCUGCUUGUUUAAUCACAUGCACUUUAACCAAGCCCAGGAUUCUCUGCUUUCUUCCAAAAGAUAAAUUAAAAGAUGUAAAGUUUUUUUGAUGAAUAAAGUCAAUUAGAUCUUAGUAAGAAAUGCUUUUCUCUUUUUGAGAUUACUUGCUUUCUAGGUGUAAUUAUUUAAAUAUAAUUAGAAAAGAAUAAUUUUCUCACACAGGGUGGCUAGAAAGCAAAUCUCUUGCCAAAAAAUACAGACUCUAAUAAUCAUUUAUUCAGACACUUUUGUUUUGUACAUAAUUAAAUUGGUUCAAAGUCCAAUAGCCAAUGAGAGGCACAGGUGGGGUUUGAUUUUGACUAUUUUGGAGAAACAAAUAAAAAGCAUUUUAUCUGAAGUUUUUUUGUUGUUGUUAAUAAGAAUGUACAUAGCUUGGAAAAAUUAAUUUAUUUGAACUGGUCUUUUUUAAGCAGUGUGUUCAAUAAUUAGUAAUGAAAUAUUGUGGCUUUCCUUGCACUAAUUGUAUGCUGCCUUCUGUGAAAUGUAAAGAAUACUGAAAAAGGUAAAUGACAAACUGUGUAUGCUCUUAAGUAAUCUCAUUUAACAUUGGGGUCAUGCCAUUCUUGUUUGUAUGCUGUUAGUUAAAACUGACAAAAUACAUAGCACUGGGAUAACUCAGUGACAAUGGUGUAUGUAAUGCAGUAUGUCAAAUUGAUAGUAGAAGUUUCCAAAUACACUUUGUGUAAAAUUUUGUGUGCAGUUAGCUGAGUACUGAAAAAUUAUCUGCUUAACCAACAGAUUUCAUAUGGUUCUUACCUGACAAGUAAAACUACUUGAAUAUUCAAAAGCUGUUUCUCAAGACUGAAUACAUCUUGCAGACAGCUUAUGUUUAACAUUUGCCAAGUUUUAUAAAACAUUGCUCUGGUGAAAAUUCCCUAAUUUAGUUCUCAAACCUCAAAGCUUCUUGGAAUUCUAUUCAUGUCACACUCAAUUCUAAAGUAACUAAAAGUCUGAACAUUGGGGAAAUGAUAUAAUAGAAGAUCAUCUUCUGACCUGAAAAUGGAACUAAAUUUAUAAUAUUGAUUGUUGCUUUAUAAUAGGUUAUAAAACACAUUAGAUUAUGUUUUAAAAUAAUUGUAAUUAUUGUAAUCAAGAAAAAUAUUUCCUAAUAUUUAAAAAAUUAUCUAUUGAAUAGUGACAAAGCAAACUGCAUAUGUGAUUAUAAAUUCAGUGUUACAGUGGAAGGUUUUAUUGAAAUUUGACAA